GACGAACGCUGGCGGCGUGCUUAACACAUGCAAGUCGAACGAUGAAGCUAGAGCUUGCUCUGGUGAAUUAGUGGCGAACGGGUGAGUAACACGUGAGUAACCUGCCCCGAACUCUGGGAUAACUGCUGGAAACGGUAGCUAAUACUGGAUACGACCUACGAAGGCAUCUUCUGUAGGUGGAAAGAAUUUCGGUUCGGGAUGGACUCGCGGCCUAUCAGCUUGUUGGUGGGGUAAUGGCUCACCAAGUCGAUGAUCUCUAACUGGUUUGAGAGGAUGAUCAGUCAGACUGGAACUGAGAAACGGUCCAGACUCCUACGGGAGGCAGCAGUUAGGAAUAUUCCACAAUGGGCGAAAGCCUGAUGGAGCAACGCCGCGUGGAGGAUGAAGGCCCUCGGGUCGUAAACUUCUUUUCUAUGCGAAGAAUAUGACGGUAACAUAGGAAUAAGGGUCUGCUAACUACGUGCCAGCAGCCGCAGUAA
rnacentral:rRNA from 1 species